rnacentral:rRNA from 1 species
AGCUCCAAAAGUGUAUAUUUAAGUUGUUGCGGUUGAAAAGCUCGUAGUUGGAUUUUGGGACGGCGCGUCUGGUCGGCCGCAAGGCUUGUACUGCACGCGCUGUCCUCACAUGACCGGUGCCUCUAAGGUGCUCUUAACUGAGUGCUUUUGUGGUCCGGGAAGUUUACCUUGAAAAAAUUAGAGUGUUCAAAGCAGGCUUAAAGCUUGAAUAAUGUUGCAUGGAAUAAUGGAAUAGGACCUCGGUUCUAUUUUGUUGGUUUUCGGAGCGCGAGGUAAUGAUUAAGAGGAACGGACGGGGGCAUCCGUACUGUGCCGUUAGAGGUGAAAUUCUUGGAUCGGCGCAAGACGAACAACUGCGAAAGCAUUUGCCAAGAAUGUUUUCU